UUUGCAGCCACGCGCACCUCGAGCAGCACGAUGG
rnacentral:SRP_RNA from 1 species